rnacentral:lncRNA from 1 species
CAGAUGUUCCCAGGACGCGAGCUAAGUCUGCCCGGCCGGCGCGCGCCGCUUCCGCUUUGGUGGGAAGGACCUCCCUUCCCCCUUAUAGAAACACUUUCUCCAGGCCGGGCCGGGCUUGGUAAACCUCAGCCGUGCCUGGGUAGAGGACGCCGGGCUGGGCCGAGCGGGGGUGGAAUGAGGGCGUCUAGAACAGAGAAAACUAAGUAGGAUGGGGUCGUCCCCCCAGUAAUCUGGAAAACAGUUACAGCAACAGGCUCCUCUCAUCAGACGGCAGUGCUGGUCGUUUCCUCACUGGUUUGCGGGGAAGGCUGGGCAGAAAAAGGAUGCAACCUUGUUCUCAACCACUUGCUAUCUCGUGAUUCAGGGAUUGGAUGAGUCUCUAUGGUUUGUUUUGCCCUGAAGAGCAGAAGGCUUCUGUCCCAACUGGUGUUGCCAAAGCAACAUAUUAAUUCCAUGCCAUGAUCCUGGGUCAAGAUCUGCACAAUCUGAUUGGGCAUGUCACCUCGGAUGGCAAGGGAGUGGAAGUGGUCAAAAUCAUGGAGUCCCAGCUUUCGGAGACGCCUUGCAGCUGCCCGGUGAAGAAAAUGCACAAUGGAAACCACCCAGAUGUCCAGUGAUAGUGGCAUGGACAAAUAAAUGUGGUAUAAUCAUGAAGAUAGAAUACUAAAUAGCAGUUAAAAAAUGAAGGCACCCAGCUUGGUGCACAACAUGGAUGAUUCUCACAAAUACAUAAUGUUGAGAAAAAAAGCAAGCCAUAACAGAAAAUAUAUGAAAAGCAUCCAUUUACAUGAAGCUCAAAAAUGGGUGAAAUUAAAGUACAUCAUUCAGGGAAGAAAAACAGUACACUAUAAAGAAAAGCAAGGAAACAACAGAAGGCUAGUUGUUACCUCUGGGUAGAGAUAGAGGUUUAUGAACAGGAAAAGGCAUAUAGGGGAAGUUGUGGGGUGCUGAAAAUGUUUAUUAUUUAUUUAUUUAUUUAUUUUUGAGACAGGAUCUUACUCUGUUUCCCAGGCUGGAGUACAGUGGUGUGAUCACUGCAACCUUGACUUCCCAGGCUCCAGAGAUCCUCCUACUUCAGCCUUAUGAGUAGCUGGAACCACAGGUGCACACCACCAUGCCCAGCUAAUUUUUGUAUUUUUGGUAGGGAUGAGAUUUUGCCAUGUUGCCCAGGCUGAUCUCAAACUCCCGAGCUCAAGCAAUCCACCAGCGUCAGUCUCUGAAAAUGCUGGGAUUACAGCGUCAGCCACUGCACCCAGCAGUUUUUUGGGUUUUUUGUUGUUGUUUUAUUUGAGACAGGGUCUCACUUCGUCACCCAGGCUGGGGUAUGUGGCACAAUCAAGGCUCACUGCAGCCUCGACCUCCUGGGUUCAAGCGAUCCUCCUCCCUCAGCUCUCUAAGUAGCUGGGACUACAGAUGCCCACCACCACACCUGGCUAAUUUUUUUUAGAGAUGGGGUUUUGCCAUGUUGCCCAGGCUGGGAAAGGAGUUUUUAAAAUUGAAAAAAAAAAGCACCCAUAAAUUAUGGUACAUCUAUCCAAUGAAACAUUAGGAAGCUGCUAAAAAAAGAAUGUGGUGAUAUAAAUAAUCUCAGA